rnacentral:rRNA from 1 species
UGACCUCAAAUCAGGUAGGACUACCCGCUGAACUUAAGCAUAUCAAUAAGCGGAGGAAAAGAAACUAACAAGGAUUCCCCUAGUAACUGCGAGUGAACCGGGAAAAGCUCAAAUUUGUAAUCUGGCGGUCCUUGUGGCCGUCCGAGUUGUAAUCUAGAGAAGUGCUAUCCGCGCUGGACCGUGUACAAGUCUUCUGGAAUGAAGCAUCAUAGAGGGUGAGAAUCCCGUCUUUGACACGGACUGCCAGGGCUAUGUGAUGCACUUUCGAUGAGUCGAGUUGUUUGGGAAUGCAGCUCUAAAUGGGUGGUAAAUUCCAUCUAAAGCUAAAUACAGGCGAGAGACCGAUAGCGAACAAGUACCGUGAGGGAAAGAUGAAAAGAACUUUGGAAAGAGAGUUAAACAGUACGUGAAAUUGUUGAAAGGGAAACGCUUGAAGUCAGUCGCGUUGGCCGGGGAUCAACCUUGCAUUCAUUUGUGGGGCGUACUUUCUGGUUGACGGGUCAGCAUCAAUUUUGACCGUUGGAAAAAGGUUGGAGGAAUGUGGCAUCUUCGGAUGUGUUAUAGACUCUGACUGCAUACAACGGUUGGGAUUGAGGAACUCAGCACGCCGCAAGGCCGGGGGAAACCCACGUACGUGCUAGGA